rnacentral:lncRNA from 1 species
CUUGGAGUAAGAUGUAUAAGUGGGUAUAAAAUGUAUAAGGCGGGUGUCCUGUAAAAAUAUCAAGUGUUUAAUGUAAUAGUGACAUAGCACUCAACAUUGCUAUAGCUGUAAGAAAUGGAAUAGCUUCAUAGGUGCUAAACCGCCGCAAGGAAUCUAUUCUCCCCUCUGAAGGCACUGAAGUGCUACGCAAGCAAACUUCAGGCAGGCAGCCCCGUUUGGUAUUUGUGGAGUUAACCAAGUUAAGCUCUCUCCCGGCUAGCCUCUGCCACCAGGAAUGCAAUUAGCGUUCACCUAUAUAAGGAAACCUGCCAGGCGGCGGGGCUGGGGUGAGGUCUGCGCCCAGCGAGCGGCACUGCGCGGGCUGGACAGGGCUCGGCAGCAGCGGCAGCACCACCAGCAGCAAUAGUAGCGGCAGCACCAGCGGCAGCAGGGCAGCUCAGCUCAGCGUAAGGAAGGACUAUCCCGUUUUCUUCAACUUCGGGACGAGGAGGAAAAGAGCCAGGGGAGCCAAAAUGGAGAGGCAGGUAUGUCGGUACGGAGCCCUGCGGCGGGAGGGUGGUAGAGAGGCUCGGGGGGCUGCCUGCGAGACUUGUUUCCACAGCUGCUGCUCCCUCCCGAAAGGGCUUGUUGGGUUUUUCAGAGGCUGCGGAGCAAAAGCACACUUCUUGUUUGCAGCAACAUCUGUGUGCACAGUUACUUUCCCUUAUCUGACGUUUCGUGUGCUUCUAAUUUCACGUACACCUUCUUUUUACUGGGGAGAUCAUCAAACUUUCUUAUCUCUGAUGGAAAGCAGACGUGAGACUGGAAAUGAGGCUGAGAUGCUUUGCUUAACUCUAUGGACCCCUGCAAAUGCACAAUUUUAUGAUCCCGUCAUGUCUGGAGAAUGGUCCUUCACUCUAUAGUGUGAAACGUGCCCUUUGUGAAAGGUGUGCUUCUUCAGCCCUUCUGGGAUCUCGGUGUUCUUUAUUGUGAUGUGUGUGAAUGCAGCCCAAACAGCAUAGCUGGGAUGCAUUUGCUGGAAUACAGGGAGUUCCUGGAGUAAUAAAGCUUUUUCAGUGAGUUAAAAAAGAAACUGCAGGUACUGUUCUAAGAAAUGUAAGCAAAACUUGUUCUUCCACAGUAGAGAUUACCCCAGUUCACAACAAGGAUGCGUUGCCUGGGAAAUAUUUGCACAUUCUGAUAACCUUUACAAGAGGUUCUGUGUAAAAUCCUGACCGAGAGAGAAAGGGAGGAAAAGUUUGUUCUGAGAAUAUUUUGGUGGAGACAUAAUAAAAAGUCAAGUUGAAAACUUAUCUCAAGCAGUUUUCUAGUUGGAAGAGUGCUGCUGUGCAGUCCUUCGGGACAGUUAGUGUUAGCAGCAGCACGUGAACUGCGGCAGCUUGCUCAAGUUUUGUGCAGUUAUGGCAUAGAAGGUAGGAAUGAAAGAAUACUUUGAGUUGUUUCUCUGAGAAGUGCCUUCUAAGGAAAAAAAAAAAAACACACAGAACUAUUCAGCAACAGGUGGAGUUUAUUUUCAGAAUGGUUUUCUGAUCUUAGCAACUGGUAGACAUCACACUGCUUUUCACUAAUUUUCGUUGUUAAUCAUACUGAAGUGGGCGCAUGCAUGAUAAUGCAGUAGUUAUGGGAGUUUCAGCUAUGUCUCUCCUGGGGGCCAAAGUAUGAAAGUAAAGUACAGUUUUACAGCUAAGGGCUUAAAAGCUUAGGGUGAAGAUUAUUGUUAUUCAAAAACUCUCUUCUUUAUACAAUUUUAAAAUUUUUAUGAAUGAAUGUCUACUUGGAGUUUGUAAUGCGACAUUACUAGAGAGGCACCAGGAUUAUAGUUCACUUGUCUUGAUACAUAUUCUCAUUCACUUAUAUGUAUGAGCAUUCUAAAUUCCUGACUGUGAAUGCUUAUCGAGGUACCAAUGGGAAUGACACAUGGCAGUAGUUUCAGCAGAGCAUUUUAUAGGAGCUUAUAUAAGAAGUUAAACACUAGACAGUGCUUCAGAACUACCGCUAGUGAGUUCAUUGUCAUGAAACAUCUUUGGUCUUGGUGGAAGGCAGUACAGCAAAUACAGAACUGGUGGACCAGAACCAUACAAUUCCUUUGUAUCACUUCUCAUCCUUGUGAUUUUCAGUUCAUAUCAUACAAUCAUGGAAUCAUUUGAGUUAAAAGAGAUCCUUAAAGGCCACCUAGUGCAACUCCCCUGCAAUGAACAGGGACACCUACAGCUAGAUCAGGUUACUCAGAGCCCAGUCCAAUCUGACCUUGAGUGUAUCCAUGGAUGUGGCAUCCACCAUAUCUCUGGGCAAUAUAACCUUUAUUAAUGUGAAUUGAGUGGGAGCACGGAGGAUAGAUUUUUAGCAGGGUUGUUAAUAAUUAAAGUAUGAAUUUAAAGGGCAGGAUAAGACACUGGAUAAACUUACUCUUAAAUCUCCUUUCCCCUAGUCUAUCUAGUAAAUUACAUUGCCCCCAUUCGUUUGGCAUCUAGCUGUGCUACAGUCAUUCACGGUCUUCUGGCUUCCCAGUAUGGAGUGAGAUAGAAGACUGAUUCAAAGCCUGCACAGAAUCUUGUGGGCUGGCAUGAACUUACUCUAGCCCAAGAUCUGAGGUCUGGAGCUCAAACCUUAUGAGGAGCAGCUAAGAGAGCUGGGAUUGUUCAGUCUGGAGAAGAGGAGGCUCAGGGGAGGCUUUAUUGCUUUCUAUAACUACCUGAAGGGAGGCUGUAGUGAGCUGGGGGACAGCCACUUCUCUUGUGUAACUAGCGAUAGGACUAGAGGGAAUGGCCUCAAGUUGUGCUGGGGGAGAUUCAGGCUGGAUGUUAGGAAAUGCUACUUUCCCAAAAGAGUGGUCAGGCACUGGAAUGGGCUGCCCAGGGAGGUGGUGGAGUCACCAACCCUGGAGGUGUUCGAGGAACAUUUAGAUGUUGAGAUGAGGGACAUGGCUUAGUGAGGAUUAUUGGUGAUAAGUGGAUGGUUGGCCUGGGUGAUCUUGUAGGUCUUUUCCAACCUUUGUGAUUCUGUGAUCUGAGCAGCCAUCUGUGUGUGUGUGGCCAUCCUGGGGCUGGUCCCAAAUGCAGGCUCUUCAGAGAGGGGGAACUGUGGGGGGCACUGUGAACACUCAUGCAUUUCACCACAAACUUUCUUGUACCCUCCUCUGCCACCCAAAGCACGUGUAAUGGGGCAGCUGCAAAGCUUGCACUAUCACACCAGGACCUACCAAGAAGUAGCAUCUGCACUGCUAUUUUUUAUUUUUUUUAAUUUGGUGCUGCAAGUGUGUUAUUGCAUGAGUUUUCAUUGCCUUGGAUACACAAAAAGCAAGUCCUUCGCUGACCAGGAUAUAUGUCUGGGAGAUACAUCCCAGAAAAAAAAAUUAUCCUUGUUUACAGUAAGAAGAGAAUUGCACAGUAGAUGAAGCAACUUAAAUUGAAGGAUAGAUCUUGUGUAUUCUCUGAAAUCACAACAAAAUCCAGUAGAUAUGGCUGGGUUUUACAGUGCCCUCUCCUUCCUGAGCUCUGGCAAACGAUCCUCCUGCCCUAGACAUUUGUCUCUUGUCCGUGUUAAUAGGUGAUGUGUUUCAUUCACUAAUUAAGAAAAAGGGCUAGCAUUCAUCAUGACCCCAUUUAAAGAUUAAUUUUUCAUUCAAUUAAGGGUUCUUUGAUAUCAGUUCUAGUAGUUCACAGUGCAGCGAUGGUGUUAUAUUGGACUGCGUAGUUUGGAAACGAAAACUCUGAACCUAGGCAAAGGUGCAGCAAGUUUGUGCAUAAGCCUGUAGUACCGUCUUUAGUUGUGUAACUGAGACGAGACUGAAGCGAAACAGAAAUAUUUGAAUGUGACAAGCUGGAGUUUAAUGCAUGACUGAACUGGAAUUUUUGUUUGUAUGCCUGAGGUAAGAAGCACGGAAUUAUUUAUGGGUAUGACAACCUUUGAUUACUUGGACCAAGUCCAUUUUUUUUGUCUCUGUUAUAUUACUGAUGGGUUAAACUCAUGAGAAGUAUCACCCAUUUGUCGCUUUCAAAAGAGUGAGUGCUUGACAUAUUUAGCAUAUAUUAUUGCUUUUCUUUGGUUUAGAAGUGAAGAUUGUAAAUUGUCUUAAACCUUUUUACGUUUCAUAACCUGGUCAUCCUGCGAAUAGAAAAAUGGUUUAUGUGAUUUCUAGACUUAAACAGAACAAUCACUGCAGGUAUUUAUUUUCUUUUUCUGACUCGUGUGCAAUUUGAAGCUGAGUGACCCUACACAUUGGCAAGAGGAAGCUAGGCACAUCACGCUUUUUUUCUGAUACUUCUUAUCAUUUUUCCAAUAAAAAGAAACACUGGUUUUCAAAGGUGUAACUGGAGAGCUAGAAAUAACAAAUGACCAUGCUGUAUUAGUUGCAUGCUCUCUUUAGGGUUUUGUUAAAGGCUUUACCACCCCAUUAUGCUAUUAUUCUGUAGUGUAAGCAUUUUAUAUGGCAUGUGUGAUUUCAUUGCCCUAAAGUGACCUUGGGAAAUUCCUUAUUUCCCCUGAAACACAUGUCUAAGUGAAAAUUGCCCUGUGCAAGUUUAGGAGCUCUAUGAAAAGAAUCUGGGAAUGAUGCGAGGAGGAGAUGGAAGUCCAGAGUGAGGUGCAAGCUACACUUCUGUAGCAUUAUUUUGCAUGCACUUAAAUCUUUGCUUUGAAGACCAAUGAUAAGGCAGCAUAGGCACCUGAUGUGUCUGCCUAAUUUUUCUAUCUAGAGAUCCCAAGAUCCAGAAGAGGUGCGUGUUGUGUGAGAUUUACUUGUCUCCCUCUUGUUCCAACUAUGAGUAGAUGUAUCUGGAGUUUAAAGUUAAAAACAUAAUUCCAAAUCUGAGCUGCAUUAUCUAGACCAGCUGCUGUCCUCAUUCUCCAGCGCAUGGCAUGUCUACCUUGAGCCACUGAGUUAGAGGGCAAAGUACGAUGACCACAGUCUGCAACCACAACCUAAAAUUGAGAUGUCGUGUUCCCAGUUAGAAGCCUCGUGCCUAGCCUAGUACUGCAGCUUCUGUGCGCAUGAGUGCCUGGGAGCCAUGUGAAUGCUUUUAGCCUGGGAGGCUAAAAGCUGGACAGUGUAAAGCUGCGCUUUGUCAGAUCAGAGGAUGUUGAGCUAGACCCUGGAUUGAAAAAUGAAGUCUGCAACAUCUGUGUAUUUAUUCACUAAUGUGUAACUGAAUUGUUUAGGAAACAAAAAAUGGAAGUAUUUUAAUUAAAAAGGGUUGAGAAACAUAAAGCAUGACAAAUCUGUGAUAAAGAUGUGGAACUGCAGUUUUCUCAUACUUCUUGUAUGUUUAUUCAGUCUGAAAAGUUGAGAAAACUACUGGGCUGAGGAUUAAACUGCCCAGAUUCUCUGGUCUUGUGUUAUCUCAAAAACAGUCUGCAGGCUUAUGCGUUGAAUUCAUCUGUUUCUGUGUUAAUUCCAAGUAAUACUUCAGAACUACUUAUCAAAAGUAGAGUUUUGGAAUACACACUACUUGGAGACUCAUACAGGAAGGCACUGAAAAUAUGCAACUUCUUUUAGAAUCUGAGUUUACCACCUUCUUAGAAAAUAUUUCCUUGCUGUUUUGUGUUUUUCUUUUUCUUUCAUCAAAAAUAUUGGCAUGGAAUCUCAUUUUUGAUGAUGUAGCAGAUAGCUGAGGGAGUACAGAGAUGCUUCUUGGCGUAUCUUGUGCAGUUCCGUUUUAUUAUUUGCCUAAGUGUAUUAUAUGCUCAGCAAGAUAUUCGUAAACAUACUUGAAGUUGAAUAUCUACACAUAAACAGAUGCAUGUUUCCCAACGUCUUUGUCUAGAGUUUUAACACAUACUCAGAUUCAUGUGUUCCUAAAUUCUCUGCUCAGUUUGUUAGUACAAAAAAAGCUAUUAUUCUCAUAUGAUACCGUGCCCAUAGGGUGGAACAGCAAGUAUUUGCUUUUCCCUAUGUCAGUUAACGCUUGUAGCAUUUUCCUUGAACAAUUCUGCAUAUUUUUUUUUUCAGGUUUUUGUAAAACUCCUUCGAGCAGUGGAUGUUCAAUUUCAUAUUUUUUCCUGUGGUGCUUUCACUCAAUGGCAGUUCUGCCAUUGGUCCUCUGGAUGUCAGAUUUAGGAAAGGGCCGUUGCUUUUGUUAGACGUCUUUCUAUGAAGUUGUUCAUAACUUCAGCUCCAUUUAGGAUUUAGUGAAGUUUACAUUCAAUGGCAUGAGUGAAAUGACAUUUUUGACACCUUGUGCAUAACUCCAGCCAUUCCAACAGGCUGAGAACAGCACUGUUUGUAAUGAAUGGGAUUACAGAGCUGAUAGAGUGUCAGUCUGUAAGUGUCACAACUUGUCCUCUGUGCUCUUCCAGCAAUGCAUGGGCUCCUGCUGCUGCAUUUCUAACAUUUCUGCUUUGUAGCUGCCCAGCCUGGAAAAUUCCAUAUGAAACCUCAGGGCUCCUGAAGUAGACUUUUUUGGGGCACAUUUAAUUCCUCUAUGUAUGAAACAACAGUAGUGUUCCCGCUAUGUUAAUGCUGUAAAACAAGCAAUGGCUUUACUACAUGGUUCAUAUCUUUGUUGUCUCGUUCACAAGAAAUUCCACACCGUUUUAGCUGAGGAGUUUAGGUAUUAGCAGUUAAUUACAAAUUCUUACCUUAAGUAUGGCAGCAUGCCACAAAAUGGUUUGGGAUAUCCUAUUGGUUGUUGUUUCAAAGUUAUGCAGCUGUGCUUAACACUCCAGUGGGCAAUUCUGGAUACGUCGCAUUUUGCCUUUGAUACAUUGCCAUACCACUGCCAUUAGCACAGUGCUUAGACUGCAAACAUCUGUUUGCUUUUAUUACACAUGUGUUGCUUAAGAUGUUCUGUUUUACAUGAUGUAAAUCACUGGACUCAACUGGCAUUGUAUGGUUUGUUUACCAAAUAAAACUUAAACUGUGUCAGUAAAAUGUAUGUCAUAUGGGAUGACAUAUAUGACAUAUGCAGAAGAGAAAAAAGACAGUUUGUGGCUGCAGUCAUCAAUACUUCCAACAGUUCCAACAAUUCACCAAUAAGGUUUUUAAAUUGUAUGAAAGGAGUUGUGUAAAUGUCUCUACAGAAGUAAAGAUGGCAGUAAAAUGGGUACACGUGCACACGCCAGACGACAGUGAUAGUGAUAGAGAUAUGCACUUAGCAUUAUAAAAUAGAAUCAGAUGAAAUCUGCAUAUCCUUCAUUCCAGAAUUUUGCCAUACUUGUGGCACAAAAUAGAACAAACACUUAUUAACAGGCACUUGGCUUUUCUUAUAUCACUAUACAUAGAUGACAGUGGCCUUUCAAAUGGUGAAGUUACCUGGACUUCGAAGUUUAGCUGUUGAUCUCAUCAACUCCUCAGCAGUGCUAUGUUAGUACACUAGUGUUUCAGACAUGUUUUGCUUCUAAUGUGCACCAUUGCACGCUGCUAGAAUGCACAACAGGGCUGACUUGGUUUAGAUUAAUGAAAAUGAACUCGGUGAAAUGACUUACAGUUGUUAGCUCGCACUUUAAUUUUAAAGGUUAACCCAAUGCACCUUGAAGGUUUUUGUCCUUAUGUUUCUGUAUCCAUAAGAGUUGAAUUUGAAUGUUUUGUCUAUGUCACAUGAGAACUAAAGAAACAAAUCAUGAGGAGAAAAUGGAAGAUUACAGCUGAGUAGAACCAUCAGCUAAAUAGUCCUUUUUUUUCAUCACAGGCACUUUAAAGUUUUGCUGUGUGCAGAAUUGCUGUAUAUUCAAAAAUGAAAUGAAAAGGUGUUUUUCAACUGAGAAUUGGUUUAGGAAUCUGGAAAGUUUUAUUUAUGGAGUGGGUAUCAUCUGCAAAGUUUCUAGUACAUCAUCAAGGCUUAUCGAGCUAGAACGGAAUUCAAAAGAAGUCUGAGCAGCUGGCAAGCUGUUCAGAAAUCAAAAGAAUCAAAAGGAGCACAACUCAAUAUAGUUGGGGAUGAAAAUAUAAUUCGAUGAUAGAAAGUAGGGAAUCAUUCAGACAGAAAGAGUAUCUGCAAAUUAGAAAAUGAAUGUGAGUCACUGAUGUGACAAAAUAUUGAAAUGUGAGUAUGUCAUUCUGGCACUCAUUACUGAUGAUAUUGUAUACAAGAGGAUGACAGUUAAUUAUUUUGUCCUGUUCUGCUGUGAUAAGCCCCUGGCCUGAAUUUUUCUGAGUUUUAUACAUGAUAAAGAAGUAUAUAGACUGGAGAUAAUCAGUUGGAAAGCAAGUGAAAAAAUGUAACAAGAAAACUUGAUAAAAAUUGCAGGAGUUGAGUAUGUUUUAGGUAAAACUAGAAAUCACAGAGUGUCCUGUGAAAGGAUAGAAUUAAUAGUCUAUCCAGCUGCCUUUCCCUCCUAAACCAGAAGAUCCUGCUUGCCCAUUGCUGUCUUCAUGUGAGAGCAAAGGGUGAAGCUGGAAGCGUGUGCUUGGAAGCCAGCUGAAGCUGGAGGGACUACUACAAGUGAGCAACUCAAAGUGCUAUUUGCAGAAACUGAGCUUGGCAAAUCUCCAUCUAGAAAAGAGAAUAAACUGUAUUCUAACACACAAGAGUGGUUGAUUGUUCUGCAUCUCCACGGAGGAUUGAAAAAAAUGCCAUUUGCAACCCUGGUGGUUUUGGUUAGAUUUGAGGAAUGGGUUACCUAAAGAAGGUGUCACAUCUGUCUUUGGAGGUUUUUCACUGGCUGAGGAAAUACAUACCAGCUUUGAUCUGUGAUCCUCCUGAGAGAAAGGAAGUGACUUCAUGUA